rnacentral:rRNA from 3 species
GUUGGGUAGGGGAGCGUUCUGUAAGCCUGUGAAGGUGGCCUGUGAGGGUUGCUGGAGGUAUCAGAAGUGCGAAUGCUGACAUAAGUAACGAUAAAGCGGGUGAAAAGCCCGCUCGCCGGAAGACCAAGGGUUCCUGUCCAACGUUAAUCGGGGCAGGGUGAGUCGACCCCUAAGGCGAGGCCGAAAGGCGUAGUCGAUGGGAAACGGGUUAAUAUUCCCGUACUUGGUGUUACUGCGAAGGGGGGACGGAGAAGGCUAUGUUGGCCGGGCGACGGUUGUCCCGGUUUAAGCGUGUAGG